rnacentral:lncRNA from 1 species
GCCAGUAAUGGAGCUGCUUUUCAUUUGCUUCGCACUGAGCUGCGGAUCGACAAGCAGCUUGGCGCAUUUGGAUAUCAGGCCUUUCUUUCUUUCUUUCUUUCUUUCUUUCUUUCUUUCUUUCUUUCUUUCUUUUUCAUCUGUGUGCAGUCGUUUCUGUUGAGUGCCUUUAGCUUUGUAAUACAAAACACUUCAAAUACUGACAAACAACAUAUGCUUCUAAAUGUCUUCAUUACUAAUUCAUAAGGGAUAACACAAGCUUUCUCUCCCCCUCUCUCUCUCUCUCUCUCUCUCUCUCUCUCUCUCUCUCUCUCUCUCCCACACACACACACACACACACACACACACACACACAUAUACACACAUCUCUUUAGAUGGAACAAGGUGCAGAAAGUUUCAGAUAUGUGUGUUAGAAGCAUCAAGUGCAACAAUUGAUUUUCAUUUUUUUUUAUAAAUCUGCGGUGGACUUUUUGACCUUUACGUCAGUGUGCUGUUACAGAUGGGCUCUCUUUACACAGCUUCACAAGGAGGUUUUUGCACCGUGGCAAUUGGUUCCUCGUGUUUGUGAUCAUUAUUGUGGAUACAGAGGAAACCUGCAUGUCUGCUCAGACUCUCAACAGAAGCUGCCAUCAAUUACCCGCUGAUGUGUGGGUGUGCUCACAUCUGAUUGGGUUCAAGGAGUUUGUCUUUCUGCGCCAUCUACUGGUGAGUCCAUGUAAUGAAAAGAAUGCUCAAAUUGUUUACUGUAGCUGCAAUAUUCAAAACACAAACUUAAA